CAGCACAUGGAGAGAGGAAAAAAACUAAAACAAUUCAAAGUUACAAAACCCUCAAUCGAGGCAAAUCAGAAUCAGCCACCUAAAAUCAAAGCAAAGUUGAAUUUCCGAUCAACAUUUUCGGAAACCCUAGCUCAGAUCCUGAAUUAACACCACCUCGUCGAAAAAUUCCACUAUCGCUUUCUAGGAAAAUAUUACUUUAAUUUCCAGGAAAGAGAGGGGAAAUUGA